rnacentral:sRNA from 1 species
UAUAUAAUUUCCUACCGACUGGUGUGC